AUUUAAAGGAACCUCUGUUGCUAAAACCCAAGAUGCGGUCAUCCCUAAAAGGAGCCCUGAUAGAAACUGGAGGUGGUAUCAUCAAAUGUCGUGUAUAAGAUUUAGAACUGGCCAAGGAAAUCCAAUGUCUCAAAGUGGCUUUUAAAUCAGCUUCUCCCCUCCUGUUGCCCAACAGAAGAACAAACAGCUUAGUUGACUUGCUAUAGAUCUUGAAUCGCUUCAGAUAAUUCUGGAGACACC